AUUGAACGCUGGCGGCAGGCCUAACACAUGCAAGUCGAGCGGAUGAAGGGAGCUUGCUCCUGGAUUCAGCGGCGGACGGGUGAGUAAUGCCUAGGAAUCUGCCUGGUAGUGGGGGAUAACGUCCGGAAACGGGCGCUAAUACCGCAUACGUCCUGAGGGAGAAAGUGGGGGAUCUUCGGACCUCACGCUAUCAGAUGAGCCUAGGUCGGAUUAGCUAGUUGGUGGGGUAAAGGCCUACCAAGGCGACGAUCCGUAACUGGUCUGAGAGGAUGAUCAGUCACACUGGAACUGAGACACGGUCCAGGCUCCUACGGGAGGCAGCAGUGGGGAAUAUUGGACAAUGGGCGAAAGCCUGAUCCAGCCAUGCCGCGUGUGUGAAGAAGGUCUUCGGAUUGUAAAGCACUUUAAGUUGGGAGGAAGGGCAGUAAGUUAAUACCUUGCUGUUUUGACGUUACCAACAGAAUAAGCACCGGCUAACUACGUG
rnacentral:rRNA from 1 species